rnacentral:rRNA from 1 species
GGUUGAUCCUGCCAGUAGUCAUAUGCUUGUCUCAAAGAUUAAGCCAUGCAUGUCUAAGUAUAAACAUCUUUAUACCGUGAAACUGCGUACAGCUCAUUAUAUCAGUUAUUAUUUCUUUGAUGGUACCUUACUACAUGGAUACCCGUAGUAAUUCUAGAGCUAAUACAUGCGUCAAGUCCCGACUUUAUGGAAGGGAUGUAUUUAUUAGAUACAAAACCCAAUGCGGGGGUAAAACUUCGCUUUGUUGUUGAAUCAUAGUAACUUGUGCACGGAUCGCACGGCUUAACGCUGG